rnacentral:rRNA from 1 species
GAGUGGCGAACGGGUGAGUAACACGUAAGUAUCUACCUUGUAGUGAGGAAUAGCCCAUCGAAAGAUGGGGUAAUACCUCAUAAUCCCUCAGGGGGAAAGGCUUCGGCCGCUAUAAGAGGAACUUGCGCGCUAUCAGUUUGUUGGUGGGGUAACGGCCUACCAAGACUACGACGGCUAGCCGAUGUGAGAGCAUGAUCGGCCACAAGGCUACUGAGACACGGAGCCUACAUCUACGGAUGGCAGCAACCGGGAAUUUUGCGCAAUGGACGAAAGUCUGACGCAGCGACACCGCGUGUGGGAUGACACUCUUCGGAGCGUAAACCACUGUGGCGAGGGAGGAAGUUCUGACAGUACCUCGCUAGAAAGCACCAGCUAACCACGUGCCAGAAGCUUCGGUAAUACGUGGGGUGCGAGCAUUAUCCGGAUUUACUGGGCGUAAAGGGUCCGUCGGCG